rnacentral:rRNA from 1 species
CAUAUUGAGUCUACAAGAUGUGUGCUAUGUGAUGAUGAACCAAAGGAAUAUCUUACUCAUCUUUUCUUUAGUUGUGAUUUCAGCCAGAAUUUCUGGAUGGCUAUUGGAUUUCAAUGGAACACAGAUUUUGAGCUUUUGGAGAUGCUCAUGGAGGGUAACAGACAUAAUAAUUCUGUAUGUUUUAAGGAAUGCCUCAUAGCAGGAUGUUGGAGUAUUUGGAACCACAGAAAUAGCAUCAUCUUUGAUCAUAAACCCAAAAAUAUGCAAUACUGCAUUAGUACUUUCAAGGAGCACUUUGAGAUGAUCAUUAAAAAAGCCAAACCUAGUUUGAAAGAAGGGAUGCAGAGUUGGCUAGAUUACUUGUAG